rnacentral:sRNA from 1 species
CUGCAAAAGGGAUGGAAGUGGAUAUCCUUUUUCUUGGGCAGGCAAAAGCUGAGGCAAGAAAAAGAUAGUAACGGACAGCCCGACCCGAG